UGUGAUGGCUGGAUCCUCAUGCUGUAUUAAUGGAACCAGAGUCAUUUUCGGUCAAGAAGUCCGCGGAUUAUUUCUUUUAGAGUAUAAACAGUACCAAAAUGGAGCUGGAAGAAGAUGGCUGGCCUCCGGGUGAUUCAGUCAGCCAGCAAGUAGAGCACAUGUGAAGGAAUCCUGGCAGUACCAAAGACAGGAUACAACAAGACUGAGGUUCAUAACCAACUUAAGGAAGCUGUCAAAUUAUGUAACACCACUGGAAGACCCUGUCAUUCUAAGAAGAACCAAGCAGGUAAUCCUAUGGAAUCCAAGAAAGUUGUGAGAACUGCACCUAUGAGAGUGAUCCUGACAUAUUCGAAUGAUGUUCGGUAUAUGUGACAUCACAGGAGAUAACUGGAAAAUCUUUACUAGUGAUGAGAAUAUAAGACAAAUAGUGAGAGAGACUCCAUUAUUUUUGUUUGAGAAUAAUAAGAACUUAAAGGUUUACUUUGCCAUACUCAGCAUAACAAUGUACAAGUUGUAAAUACAUCUUUAAAAAACAAGUACUUAUACAUCCUAAAACUCAUAAAUGCUAUUGUUUACAGACAUAUGCUGAUUGUAAGACUAAAAAUCUUAUUGAUAUUGCCUGUAGUCAGCAGCUUCUAUGUUGGCAAAACUAACCAACAAUUUAAAGAGAGGAUUUCCAAGCAUGCCAGUGAUAUUCAACUCAAAGAUGAUAAAAACCCAUUGACAAAACACAUUAUGGCAAAUAACUCUCAUAUUUUUAAUUUUAUGGACAUCCUAGUAGUGAAGAAAAAUAUGAGAGGAGGGAAUAUUGUAUUACGUAUGGAACUGGCUGAGAUGAAUUGGAUUGGUGACUUACAGGCAGACACACCUCCAGGACUGAACACCUCCAUUCCUUUAAAACCAACCCUAAAAGGGCUUAGGUGUGAAUAUUGACUUUUGAUUAGUCUUUAUCUUGUUUAAAUAUCUGAUGGCUUUAUGAAGGGACAGGAUAUGAAGAAGGGUGUUGGGAAUGCCUGAAAGCACUUAUCUUGUUGUUAUUUUUGCUGUUUUAUUGUAACAUUAAAUUGUUUAUUUUAAAAUUA